rnacentral:rRNA from 1 species
AUUGAACGCUGGCGGAAUGCCUUACACAUGCAAGUCGAACGGCAGCACGGGAGCAAUCCUGGUGGCGAGUGGCGAACGGGUGAGUAAUACAUCGGAACGUGCCCAAUCGUGGGGGAUAACGUAGCGGAAGCUACGCUAAUACCGCAUACGAUCUACGGAUGAAAGCGGGGGAGUCGCAAGACCUCGCGCGAAUGGAGCGGCCGAUGGCAGAUUAGGUAGNGGUGGGGUAAAGGCUCACCAAGCCUUCGAUCUGUAGCUGGUCUGAGAGGACGACCAGCCACACUGGGACUGAGACACGGCCCAGACUCCUACGGGAGGCAGCAGUGGGGAAUUUUGGACAAUGGGCGCAAGCCUGAUCCAGCCAUUCCGCGUGCAGGAUGAAGGCC